UACGAAGGGGGCUAGCGUUGCUCGGAAUCACUGGGCGUAAAACGCACGUAGGCGGCUUCUUAAGUCAGGGGUGAAAUCCUGGAGCUCAACUCCAGAACUGCCUUUGAUACUGCCGAUCUGGAGUCCGGAAGAGGUGAGUGGAAUUCCGAGUGUAGAGGUGAAAUUCGUAGAUAUUCGGAAGAACACCAGUGGCGAAGGCGGCUCACUGGACUGGUAUUGACGCUGAGGUGCGAAAGCGUGGGGAGCAAACAGG
rnacentral:rRNA from 1 species